UGGGGAAUCUUGCGCAAUGCGCGAAAGCGUGACGCAGCAACGCCGCGUGUGGGAAGACGGCCUUCGGGUUGUAAACCACUUUCAGUUGGGACGAAGCCUUGUCGGUGAAUAGCCGGCGGAGGUGACGGUACCUUCAGAAGAAGCCCCGGCUAACUACGUGCCAGCAGCCGCGGUAAUACGUAGGGGGCAAGCGUUGUCCGGAAUCAUUGGGCGUAAAGCGCGUGUAGGCGGCCAGGUAAGUCCGUUCUGAAAGCCCGGGGCUCAACCCCGGGAGGCGGAUGGAUACUGCUUGGCUCGAGUCCGGAAGAGGUGAGUGGAAUUCCCGGUGUAGCGGUGAAAUGCGCAGAUAUCGGGAGGAACACCAAUGGCGAAGGCAGCUCACUGGGACGGUACUGACGCUGAGACGCGAAAGCGUGGGGAGCAAACAG
rnacentral:rRNA from 1 species